GCCCCUGUAGUGUAGUCCGGUAACGUUUUGUGCGCAGCACAAAAUCUUGGGCAACCAAUCACAUUGCCCUCUCGAGGCAAUGACUCGGGUUCGAAUCCCGACGGGGGCG
rnacentral:tRNA from 1 species